GCGGGCGCGCGCCGCGGAGGAAGUAAACAAGCCGUCAGCGCGCGGGCGACCGUUAGGGCCGGGUGCAAAAGCGGCCGUUGCCGGGGCGCGGGGGCGGGAAGCGCGGCCCUGCUCCUGCGGCCUCGCCUGCCCCUGCCUGCCCCCCGCAGCCCGUGCGGCAGUGGAGGGAGGGCUGCUGGAGUGGCUCACGGUGGUGGGCUGUGGCCGUGCGGUGCUGCUCAGCCCGGGUCUGGGCGUCAUUAGCAGCUCGCGUUGCUCUGUCACCGCUGUGCUGUACAGGCGGGCCACCGCCGCAAUCCCCCAAUUUUAGGUCAAAAUAUGAGUGAGGAGCAAGAUGUGUUUUGCGGUCUGGUUGUGUGCCCUGACAUUAUGUCUCCAUCCAGGUUAGCUGUUGUAUUGCUGAAAUACAAGGCUAGGCAUUACCAGCCCACCAAAUCUUCCAGCAGAGACAUCUCAUUUGCAUAAAAGUGCAGAUGUUCUGUGACCCUAUUUCAACCUUCCGUAGCCAAGAGCAGGAGCAGCUUUCCUCCCUCCUUGUGUGGCAGUAGUUACCCAGCAGAGGAGCUCCAGGUGUUCCCCAAUAAAGGAAGUCCCUGGUACCUUCUCGUUUUCAAUCCAAGUGCCCCUGCUCAAGCUGCUUCGUCAGUUGGGUGGAGCUGAGAUUGCUUGUGCAUCUCCAUAUAUUGUUUAGAUUCUUUCUAUACUUUUAUAUGAACAUGUAAAGUGGUUUUAAAAUUUUAAAUAUAUUAAAGCCUCGAAACUCUA